rnacentral:sRNA from 1 species
AGAAGGAACAAAACGGCAUUUCCGGGAAGAUGGCGGCGCACAAGUCAGGUCCGGCACAUGUUUCCGCGGAAAGGACCCCGCAAUGACGGAUGAUAUCACCUCUUCUUCUCUGUUGAGAGUCUGAGGAUAGAAACUUUUUUCUCACCAUGAAUGUCACCCCAGAGGUCAAGAGUCGUGGGAUGAAGUUUGCUGAGGAGCAGCUGCUAAAGCAUGGAUGGACUCAAGGUGGGACAUGACCCUGCCAAGGAGUUCACAAACCACUGGUGGAAUGAGCUCUUCAACAAGACUGCGGCCAACUUGGUAGUGGAAACUGGGCAGGUAUGAGCUCUUGAUAGAUGGGCACAUGAAACAGAGGGCCUGGGACCUGUGGCGUAGGCAGUCAUGAUAUGUCACCCAUUCACUGGUACUGAUAAUUCUCUACAGGAUGGAGUACAGAUAAGGAGCCUUUCUAAGGAGACCACCCGUUAUAAUCAUCCCAAGCCCAACCUGCUGUAUCAGAAGUUUGUGAAGGUAUUAGAGGCUGUGGGUAACAGAGUCCAUACUUAUUCUCUUUCCUGGUUUCCCUGGGGCCUGAACAGUUGCCUUGUAUGCCUUAUCAAUUCUCAGGACUUUCCUAACAUAGUGGGAUCCUGUGACCAGCCUUGCUGUUGCUUACUUAGACUGCCCAGACCCUCAGCAGGAAUUGAGAUCUUCAGGUUCCGUGGAUCCUGCCAUCUGUUAAGGGAGCAGCAAUAGGGUGUGGGAGGUAGGGUACAGUCUCUUAAGUCAGGAGCUGCCAGAU